CCCGCUGAACUUAAGCAUAUCAAUAAGCGGAGGAAAAGAAACUAACAAGGAUUCCCCUAGUAACUGCGAGUGAAGCGGGAAGAGCUCAAAUUUGUAAUCUGGCGCCUUCUGUGUUCGAGAUGUGAUCUCCAGAAGUGCUUUCCGCGCCGGGCAGCAUCCUAGUGUGUGAGAAUACAGUGUCAUAGAGGUGAGAACCCCGUACUUAAUGAGGAUGCCCCGCGCUUUGUGAUACACUUUCCUAUAGUCGAGUUGAUUGGGAAUGCAGCUCUAAUUGGGUGGUAAAUUCCAUGAAAAGCUAAGUAUUGUCUAGAGACGAAUAGCGAACAAGUACCGUGCGGGAAAGAUGAAAAGCACUUCGGAGAGAGAGUGAACAGUACGUGAAAUUGUUGGAGAGGGAAACGCUGAGAGUCAGACUUGCUAUUCGGAAUUCAGACUCAAGGUGGACUUUUCGAGUUGCACGUCAUGAUCCGACUUUGCGGAUGGAAUAUGGCCGCAUGAAGGUAGCAAUUUAGAGAUGCGCUAUAUCGCUCGCCAGGAUUCAUCUUUAGGGACUGAGCAAGCCAGCGCGCUGUUUCGCAAGGCUCUCGAGCUAUCCGCGCUUAGGAUGUUGGUGGAAUGGCUUUAAACGACCCGUCUUGAAACACGG
rnacentral:rRNA from 1 species